UACCUUGCAGCGCGGCCGAGCUGGUGCCGGAGGACAGGAGCCCGACGAUGCCGCAGAGCAAGAGCAGCAGCCGGGCCAUGGCAUGGGAAGAGCUCGGGAAGGGCGCCAGCCUCUCCAGGACAGGGGCGCAAGUGGAAAUACCAGAAGCCCCAACACCUGCAGAUGGACAUGUAGUGUUGUCUGCUUCACUACACAAUUGGUCAUGUUUUCUAGACCUCAAAUCAUUUUUGUCGCUCUUCUCUGGACUUUCUCCAAUUUC